UACGAAGGGGCUAGCGUUGCUCGGAAUCACUGGGCGUAAAGCGCACGUAGGCGGAUUGCUAAGUCAGGGGUGAAAUCCUGGAGCUCAACUCCAGAACUGCCUUUGAUACUGGCGAUCUCGAGUCCGGGAGAGGUGAGUGGAACUGGCGAAGUGUAGAGGUGAAAUUCGAUAGAUAUUCGCAAGAACACCAGUGGCGAAGGCGGCUCACUGGCCUGGUACUGACGCUGAGGUGGCGAAAGCGUGGGAGCAAACAGG
rnacentral:rRNA from 1 species